rnacentral:rRNA from 1 species
UACGGAGGGAGCUAGCGUUGUUCGGAAUUACUGGGCGUAAAGCGCACGUAGGCGGCUUUGUAAGUUAGAGGUGAAAGCCCGGGCUCAACUCCGGAACUGCCUUUAAGACUGCAUCGCUUGAAUCCGGGAGAGGUGAGUGGAAUUCCGAGUGUAGAGGUGAAAUUCGUAGAUAUUCGGAAGAACACCAGUGGCGAAGGCGGCUCACUGGACCGGUAUUGACGCCUGAGGUGCGAAGCGUGGGGAGCAAACAGGA